GCGUACGGGCUUGUCGGAUCCCUGCUCGGGCAGCGACGGCAGCUUGUGCGCGCCUUUUCAAUCGUCGGUUCAAGUGCGCCUUGAUCGAUGUCGGUUUCCUGUGUUGCAUACCUAUCUUGGAGGUAUUAUGUCGGUUAAAAGUGCCCGUUUCGUCUUGCGCUGCAUCCUUUUCAAGGCUGCGGCGUGGGAUGGACCAUGAAGAUCCGUCGUGUUCCACAUCCCAGACGUAAUUGUCCUCGGGUUGUUGGCGCACGGCGGCAUGCUCGAUCUCUCUGAUGCGGAAAAUUGAGUGGGUACGAGGCGUUUGUUCUCUAUUUACCCCAGAAAAAGGCGUUUCACGCUCCAAGCGAACGACGGCCGUCGCCGUUGUGAUCGAGUCUUUGUGGCUUGCAUCAUGCGGUGUCGGUGUCNGUAAGGAA
rnacentral:misc_RNA from 1 species